rnacentral:rRNA from 1 species
AAAGCGUGCGCAGGCGGUUUUGUAAGUCUGAUGUGAAAUCCCCGGGCUCAACCUGGGAAUUGCAUUGGAGACUGCAAGGCUAGAAUCUGGCAGAGGGGGGUAGAAUUCCACGUGUAGCAGUGAAAUGCGUAGAUAUGUGGAGGAACACCGAUGGCGAAGGCAGCCCCCUGGGUCAAGAUUGACGCUCAUGCACGAAAGCGUGGGGAGCAAACAGGAUUAGAUACCCGGGU